GGUUCAUUCAAAUUUCUGCCCUAUCAACUUUCGACGGCAGGGUCUUGGCCUGCCAUGGUGACAACGGGUAACGGAGGUUAGGGCUCGACCCCGGAGAAGGAGCCUGAGAAACGGCUACUACAUCCAAGGAAGGCAGCAGGCGCGCAAAUUACCCAAUCCCGACCGGGGAGGUAGUGACAAUAAAUACUGAUACAGGGCUCUUUUGGGUCUUGUAAUUGGAAUGAGUACAAUUUAAAUCCCUUAACGAGGAACAAUUGGAGGGCAAGUCUGGUGCCAGCAGCCGCGGUAAUUCCAGCUCCAAUAGCGUAUAUUAAAGUGGUUGAGGUUAAAAAGCUCGUAGUUG
rnacentral:rRNA from 1 species